rnacentral:rRNA from 1 species
AAGUUGGGUCACAGUGGGGCCAUCUUACUGCUGUUUGAGACACCCUCUGGCUUCGCCGUAUUCGUGUAUGAUGGUGUCCAACUCUACUAGCAAAAAGCCGAGGAGAAAAUCUGGGCCAACUUUGUCAAGGACUACAUGCCGCACAAAGUCAUUUGGCUACAAGAGUUCAGGAGAUUCGAGAACAAGGCCAAUGUAUUUAAUCAUACUGGUGUCAGCAAAGAACUUGCAGAGAUGAUCCAAAGAUGGCACGCCCCUGGUCAGCUGCUAGCUGUCGGAAAGCCUGAGCACAAAGAAAUCAUCGAAGCAAAAUUGAAAAUACGCUGCCUGUAUAAUGAAGCUGUGUUGGAGGUCAUGUGGGGCAUAAAAAAUCUCAUGAAGAGUUUAGUGCCUCUUGAAGAUGGUGAGCUGAGCAAAGAAGACCGGCUUCCGAUGAGUUAUGGGAUGAAAACUGUCCUCAAUCGUCAUGGAUUCGAUGUCACGCCGGAAAUGGUGAGAAUACCUUUCGCUUAA